rnacentral:lncRNA from 1 species
UUGGGCUUGGCCUUGUGACUUGUUUUGACCAACAAAGUAUGAGCAGACUUGACUCAAGCCACCUUCCAGGGGAGGCAUAAGCUGUGCUUGCAUGCUUCGGCUCUACCUCUCAUGUUCUGCCCACUCUCAUGAGAACAGCAUGACACAGAUGAAAGAUGCUCCUUCAGUCUGAAACCUGAAGAGAGAAGCUACAUAGAGCUAAGCCCAGCUGAGCCCAGCCCAGCCAAUACAGUGCAUUGACCUGCAGCUAUCUUACAAUAUGAGUCGGAAAUAGACAUUUGUUCUUGUAAGCUCUUGAGAUAAUAUGGUUGUUUGUUACCACAGCAAAAGCUAAUAAACCACCGUUAGAAAACAGAUAAAGUGUUUUAAAUUUUUAGAAUAUUUGGAAAUGAUGCUAAGUUUGUGAAGUUCCUUAAGGUAUGCAAAUGAAAAAUAAUUUACCUUAAUCAUUGUCAUAAACCUGAAUCAAAGUUUGAAAUAAAAAUCAUGCCUACUAGCCCUUACUUAAGUGAUUUAUAGACAAUGUAAAUCUUUGUAAACUACCUCAAAUAAUGUGAUAAACAAGAUAUAAAGCAGGCUUUCUUUUCAUUUGUCUCUGUGGGUUCUUUAACAGCUAUACAGCCAUACUCCCUGUACUUGGAUUUACCAUGGAAAACAUUUUCCCUCUCCGUUAUUGUUGGCAAAAGCUGCAUCUUUCUGGUCUGUUCAGUACUCGACAAUUUGUACUGCCAAUUAUGCUAUUACAAUGUCUCUUAAGGUUUCCUCCACUGCUCCUUUAUUCUUGGUACCUCCUUUGUGAUUUCAGAGUCGUUUUAUGGAAUUGUAAUGUGGCUCUUGACAUAUAAUUGAAGCAUGUUAAAUUACCCUGGCUUAAAUAAACAACUUACCAUGUGAAUAUGUUUAGGCAUCUUUUAAUGUGGUAUUUUUCCCUUGACUUGUCUAAAAAAAAUCAAUGGCAUAAAAUAAAACUUGGUACCUUAGCUUCUAAAGUGCACAAUUUUCCCUUUCC